UGGUUCGAUUCUGGCUCAGGAUGAACGCUGGCGGCAUGCCUAAUACAUGCAAGUCGAACGGAGUGAAGCCUUCGGGUUUCAUUCAGUGGCGAACGGGUGAGUAAUACGCAGGGAACCUGGCCAUGGCAGGGGGAUACACUCUGGAAACGGAGCAUAAGACCCCAUAGGCAGUAAGGCGGCAUCGCCUUACUGUUAAAGAAAGCUGAAAGGCUUUGGCGAUGGAUGGACCUGCGGUGCAUUAGCUUGUUGGUGAGGCAACGGCUUACCAAGGCGAUGAUGCAUAGCCGGCCUGAGAGGGCGGACGGCCACACUGGGACUGAGACACGGCCCAGACUCCUGCGGGAGGCAGCAGUAGGGAAUUUUCGUCAAUGGGCGCAAGCCUGAACGAGCAAUGCCGCGUGAGUGAGGAAGGUCUUCGGACUGUAAAGCUCUGUUGCCGGGGAAAAAGGGGAAAUGCAGGAAAUGGCAUUUCAUGGAUGGUACCCGGCCAGAAAGCCACGGCUAACUACGUGCCAGCAGCCGCGGUAAUACGUAGGUGGCGAGCGUUAUCCGGAAUGAUUGGGCGUAAAGGGUGCGCAGGCGGUCUGUUAAGUCUGAAGGCAAAGGGAUGAGCUCAACUCAUUUAUGAUUCAGAAACUGGCAGACUUGAGGACAGGAGAGGGCGGUGGAACUCCAUGUGUAGCGGUAAAAUGCGCAGAGAUAUGGAAGAACACCAGUGGCGAAGGCGGCCGCCUGGCCUGUGACUGACGCUGAGGCACGAAAGCGUGGGGAGCAAAUAGGAUUAGAUACCCUAGUAGUCCACGCCGUAAACGAUGAGGAGCAGGUGUUGGGAGUGAAAUCUCAGUGCCGAAGCCAACGCAGUGACUCCUCCGCCUGGGGAGUAUGCACGCAAGUGUGAAACUCAAAGGAAUUGACGGGGGCCCGCACAAGCGGUGGAGUAUGUGGUUUAAUUCGAAGCAACGCGAAGAACCUUACCAGGUUUUGACAUCGGAUGCGAAGGCGCAGAGAUGCGCUGGAGGCUAUCAUCCAGACAGGUGGUGCAUGGUUGUCGUCAGCUCGUGUCGUGAGAUGUUCAGUUAAGUCUGGCAACGAGCGCAACCCCCGUGGUAUGUUACUAACGCAUUUGGGCGAGGACUCAUAUCAGACUGCCGGUGACAAACCGGAGGAAGGCGGGGAUGACGUCAAAUCAUCAUGCCCCUUAUGACCUGGGCUACACACGUACUACAAUGGCGUCUACAGAGGGAAGCGACCCUGAGAAGGGAAGCGAAACCGGAAAAGGGCGUCCCAGUUCGGAUUGAAGUCUGCAACCCGACUUCAUGAAGAUGGAAUCGCUAGUAAUCGCGGAUCAGCAUGCCGCGGUGAAUACGUUCCCGGGCCUUGUACACACCGCCCGUCAAACCAUGGAAGCCGGCAACGCCCGAAGCCGGUGGCAUAACCUUUUAGGAGUGAGCCGUCGAAGGCGGGGCCGAUGACUGGGGUUAAGUCGUAACAAGGUAGCC
rnacentral:rRNA from 1 species